UACGGGGGGGGCGAGCGUUGUCCGAAGUUACUGGGCGUAAAGCGCGUGUAGGCGGGUUGUUAAGUCCGCUGUGAAAGCCCGGUGCUCAACGCCGGAGGGUCGGUGGAUACUGGCAGUCUUGAAGUGGCUAGGGGGAAAUGGAAUUACCGGUGUAGCGGUGAAAUGCGUAGAUAUCGGUAGGAACACCAGUGGCGAAGGCGGUUUCCUGGAGCCCACUUGACGCUGAGACGGCGAAAGCUGGGGGAGCAAACGGG
rnacentral:rRNA from 1 species